UCUAAUAUGGCAGAUUAGUGCAAUGAAUUUAAACUUCAUAUAUAAAGAUUUUUAUCUUUUAUUAGAA
rnacentral:tRNA from 1 species